UACGUAGGGUGCAAGCGUUGUCCGGAAUUAUUGGGCGUAAAGAGCUCGUAGGCGGUCCGUCACGUCGGGCGUGAAAACCCAGGGCUCAACCCUGGGCCUGCGUUCGAUACGGGCGGACUAGAGUUCGGUAGGGGAGACUGGAAUUCCUGGUGUAGCGGUGAAAUGCGCAGAUAUCAGGAGGAACACCAAUGGCGAAGGCAGCUCGCUGGGACGGUACUGACGCUGAGGCGCGAAAGCGUGGGGAGCAAACAGG
rnacentral:rRNA from 1 species